UCUUUUCUUCUUAAUUAGUCUUGCUAGUGGUCUAUCAAUUUUGUUGAUCUUUUCAAAAAACCAGCUCCUGGAUUCAUUGAUUUUUUGAAGAGUUUUUUGUGUCUCUAUUUCCUUCAGUUCUGCUCUGAUCUUAGUUAUUUCUUGCCUUCUGCUAGCUUUUGAAUGUGUUUGCUCUUGCUUCUCUGGUUCUUUUAAUUGUGAUGUUAGGAUGUCAAUUUUAGAUCUUUCCUGCUUUCUCUUGUGGGCAUUUAGUGCUAUAAAUUUCCCUCUACACACUGCUUUGAAUGUGUCCCAGAGAUUCUGGUAUGUUGUGUCUUUGUUCUUGUUGGUUUCAAAGAACAUCUUUAUUUCUGCCUUCAUUUCGUUAUGUACCCAGUAGUCAUUCAGGAGCAGGUUGUUCAGUUUCCAUGUAGUUGAGCAGUUUUGAGUGAGUUUCUGAAUCCUGAGUUCUAGUUUGAUUGCCCUGUGGUCUGAGAGAGAGUUUGUUAUAAUUUCUGUUCUUUUACAUUUGCUGAGGAGUGCUUUACUUCCAACUAUGUGGUUAGCACUUAUAUGUUUUUUAAAACAAUACAUGAUCACAUACAAAACAUAAAAGUGAAAUGAG
rnacentral:lncRNA from 1 species